UACGGAGGGUGCAAGCGUUAUCCGGAUUCACUGGGCUUAAAGGGUGCGUAGGUGGGUUAGUAAGUCCGUGGUGAAAUCCCCGAGCUUAACUCGGGAACUGCCGUGGAUACUAUUAGUCUUGAAUAUCGUGGAGGUAAGCGGAAUAUGUCAUGUAGCGGUGAAAUGCUUAGAUAUGACAUAGAACACCGAUAGCGGAGGCAGCUUACUACGCGAUUAUUGACACUGAGGCACGAAAGCGUGGGGAGCAAACAGG
rnacentral:rRNA from 1 species